AAUGAUGGCCACACUGUCUCCUCCAGAGACUCAGCGAAGUUGAAAUGUUUGUGAUGAUGCAAUCUCCCCGCGGAAAGACGGAAAGACCCCAUGAACCUUUACUGUAGCUUUACAUUGGACUUUGAACAGAUCUGAGUCGGAUAGGUGGGAGGCUUUGAAGUAAGGUCGCUAGAUCUUAUGGAGCCGACGUUGAAAUACCACCCUGGUGUGUUUGAGGUUCUAACCUUGGCCCGUGAUCCGGGUUGGGGACAGUGUAUGGUGGGCAGUUUGACUGGGGCGGUCU
rnacentral:rRNA from 1 species